GUGGAGAGAGCUCUGUGUUGUGCUGUGGACCAGUCUGCAGAUGUGGUGGUCAGGGAAGGGGAGUCACUAACCCUGAACUGUUCCCAGCUUGGAACGAAACAUUUCAAUAUGUAUUGGUACAAGCAACAAAGGCAGAAGGACACACGGCUUCAGCUGCGAUAACCGGCUUGGGACUCCAGAAACGAAUCCAGCGCUUUGAGGGAAUGAUACUUGUCCUUCCAAUGGCUAACCCUAAAGCAAAAUGGGGAAGUGGAGAAAUGGCAGCUAGAGCAAUGAGCCCCUCAGGGACCCAUGCCUUGACCUAAGGGCCCUGAGCUGGAAUGUCUGGGUUUGUCAUCAUGGCCAUCGACACAGCUGCAGCAUCAUGGCUCUGAGAGUGACUUGCUGGCAGGCCUCUUGGGGGUGUGACGGAAGGCCUUGCUCACCAGUCUUCACACUCCCGUCUCAAAUUAAUUGCUGACCUGGGCCAAAGAAAAGCACUGAUCAAAUGGAGACAAUGAAACUCAGAAAAGCUGAUCAGGGGAUAAAAAUAAAUAAAUCAU